AACGUAGGACGCAAGCGUUAUCCGGAAUUACUGGGCGUAAAGCGCGUGUAGGUGGUUUGAUAAGUCACUGUUGAAAGCUCCCGGCUAAACUGGGAGAGGUGCGGUGAGACUGUCAGGCUAGAGUAUGGGAGAGGGAUGCAGAAUUCCGGGUGUAGUGGUGAAAUGCGUAGAGAUCGGCAGGAACACCCAGGGGGAAACCAGCCGACUGGGCAAGUGCUGACGCUGAGGUGCGAGAGCGUGGGGAGCGAACCGG
rnacentral:rRNA from 1 species